AUUGAACGCUGGCGGCAGGCUUAACACAUGCAAGUCGAGCGGAGAGAGGUAGCUUGCUACUGAUCUUAGCGGCGGACGGGUGAGUAAUGCUUAGGAAUCUGCCUAUUAGUGGGGGACAACAUUUCGAAAGGAAUGCUGAUACCGCAUACGUCCUACGGGAGAAAGCAGGGGAUCUUCGGACCUUGCGCUAAUAGAUGAGCCUAAGUCGGAUUAGCUAGUUGGUGGGGUAAAGGCCUACCAAGGCGACGAUCUGUAGCGGGUCUGAGAGGAUGAUCCGCCACACUGGGACUGAGACACGGCCCAGACUCCUACGGGAGGCAGCAGUGGGGAAUAUUGGACAAUGGGCGGAAGCCUGAUCCAGCCAUGCCGCGUGUGUGAAGAAGGCCUUAUGGUUGUAAAGCACUUUAAGCGAGGAGGAGGCUACUUUAGUUAAUACCUAGAGAUAGUGGACGUUACUCGCAGAAUAAGCACCGGCUAACUCUGUGCCAGCAGCCGCCGCCGUAA
rnacentral:rRNA from 1 species